rnacentral:lncRNA from 1 species
CUCCCAUCCCAUAAUGUUCAUUCUCUUCCGUGUGCAUCUACUGCUUUAGAACUUGGCCCUUCCCCCACAGAACUUUUUCUGGAACUCAGAGUCUGGAAUUGGAACCCUGAAUCACAGAUUAACUUUGGGACACUGACCAGCCUUUCACAACUGUAGCCACCCUUUCCAGGAGCAGUUCAAGGCCUCACAGAGCCAAAGAGGCUCAACCACAGUUGCUGUCUGUAGAUGUGCUUUGGAAGGAUUCUUUCACAAAACAAGAAAAACAAACGAAAGCUGCUGGGUGCAAAGAAAGCACGGGAGGUGGGACCCAUUUCUGUCACCUCAACAGACGAGGGGGAACCUGCUGUGUGGGCCAACUCAUUGCACAUGAAUUAUGUGCAACCCCAUGUGGAUGCCUGCGGCACAGGUACCCGGAACACCCUUUCCAUCGAAACCAGCUUCAGGUGGGAUGUCCCAGGAAACUAGUUGAUUCCCCACCCUCCUGGUUCCCACACUAGUUAUUGUCUGUCCCUUUGAUUCCUUCACCCUUGCUGGGGUCCUGCCCAACUGAGGAGACCAACACGGAAACCCAAGCUGAGAAAGGGAAGCCUCUGCCUCGUUUUUACUCCCAACCCCCG